AAGAAGAGAUAAAGGAAACAAAAAAAAGGAAAAGGAAUAACGGUCAAAUGACCGAAUUUCAAAAAAAAAUAAAAAUAAUCGACAACGGCCGAAUUUUUUGAAAAUUUCGGUUUUUUUUUCAAAAAAAACAAAAAUAAAUUGGUGCGUGUUGAGUACGCGCGCACGCCAACAACCAUCAGGCCAAGCCUGAUAGAACAGGUUAGCCUCGAGCCCCCCA
rnacentral:lncRNA from 1 species